rnacentral:antisense_RNA from 4 species
UGUGGGAGCGGGCUUGCUCGCGAAUGCGUCGGUUCAGUUGGCAUCUGUGUUGCUGACCCACCGCUUUCGCGAGCAAGCCCGCUCCCACA